rnacentral:rRNA from 1 species
GACGGAGGAUGCAAGCGUUAUCCGGAAUGAUUGGGCGUAAAGCGUCCGCAGGUGGCAGUUCAAGUCUGCUGUCAAAGACCGGGGCUUAACUUCGGAAAGGCAGUGGAAACUGAACAGCUAGAGUAUGGUAGGGGCAGAGGGAAUUCCUGGUGUAGCGGUGAAAAUGCGUAGGAGAUCAGGAGGAACACCGAUGGCGAAGGCAGGUCUCUGGGCCAUAACUGACGCUGAGAAGCGAAAGCAUGGGGAGCGAACAGG